rnacentral:misc_RNA from 1 species
CUUCUCUUGUAACCCACAUAUUGUUCAAUAUACAUCUGUAUCACUGAAAAAUUUAAUGUAUUCAAUUUCUCUGGCAGCGACGUGGUCAAAUUUAUUUUCAUUUGUCAUGCGUGGGCAGCCAUGUUCUGAUCUAGCAGAACAGAGAACCCUGUACUGGAUGAUAUUUGUGAAAUACUUACGAGAGAGAUACUAAGAAUUUU